rnacentral:rRNA from 1 species
CCUACGGGAGACAGCAGUGAGGAAUAUUGGUCAAUGGACGAGAGUCUGAACCAGCCAAGUAGCGUGAAGGAUGACUGCCCUAUGGGUUGUAAACAUCUUUUAUAUGGGAAUAAAAUGUUCCACGUGUGGGAUUUUGUAUGUACCAUAUGAAUAAGGAACGGCUAACGCCGUGCCAGCAGCCGCGGUAAGACGGAGGAUCCGAGGGUUAUCCGGAUUUAGUGGGCUUAAAGGGAGCGUAGGUGGAUUGUUAAGUCAGUUGUGAAAGUUUGCGGCUCAACCGUAAAAUUGCAGUUGAAACUGGCAAUCUUGAGUACAGUAGAGGUGGGCAGAAUUCGUGGUGUAGCGGUGAAAUGCGUAGAUAUCACGAAGAACUCCGAUUGCGAAGGCAGCUCACUGGACUACAACUGACACUGAGGCGCGAAAGUGUGGGUAUCAAACAGGAUUAGAUACCCCAGUAGUC